rnacentral:rRNA from 1 species
GACGAACGCUGGCGGCGUGCCUAACACAUGCAAGUCGAGCGAAGUGAGUACUACGGUACGAACUUUGCGGCGGACGGGUGAGUAACGCGUGGACAAUCUACCCUGUAGACUGGGAUAACACCUCGAAAGGGGUGCUAAUACCGGAUAAUGUCGAGAAGCGGCAUCGCUUUUCGAAGAAAGGAGAGAAUCCGCUAUAGGAGGAGUCCGCGUCCCAUUAGCUAGUUGGUGAGGGUAACGGCCCACCAAGGCGACGAUGGGUAGCCGGCCUGAGAGGGUGAACGGCCACACUGGAACUGAGACACGGUCCAGACUCCUACGGGAGGCAGCAGUGGGGAAUAUUGUGCAAUGGGGGAAACCCUGACACAGCAACGCCGCGUGGGCGAAGAAGGCCUUCGGGUUGUAAAGCUCAGUAGUAUGGGAAGAUAAUGACGGUACCAUACGAAAGCCCCGGCUAACUACGUGCCAGCCGCCGCCGUAACAC